rnacentral:rRNA from 1 species
GAUGGACCCUAAAAAGUCCUAUAAACAUAAAGGUUUGGUCCUGACCUUGAAGUCAAUUAUUACUUAAUAUACACAUGCAAGUCUCCGCCCACCCGUGAAAACGCCCUUAAACCCCUCCUAGGGACAAGGAGCUGGUAUCAGGCACGAAAAUCUGCCCNAAACACCUAGCUUUGCCACACCCACAAGGGAAUUCAGCAGUGAUUAACAUUGAAUAUUAGCACAAGCUUGAUUCAGUUAAAGUAAUCUAGGCNGGCUAAUCUGGUGCCAGCCGCCGCGGUUACACCAUGUGGCCCAAAUUGUCUUCUAUCNNNGUAAAGCGUGAUUAAAGCUAAUAUUACUAUAGAGUUGAACUAAAACUAAGCUGUGACACGCCUACUUCUAAGAAAACCUAAUACGAAAGUUACUCUAGCCUAAUCAACUUGAAUUCACGACAGCCGGGGAACAAACUGGGAUUAGAUACCCCACUAUGCCCGGCCGUAACCUUUAAAUUACAUUCGAAUUCCGAGGGAACUACGAGCUAAGCUUAAAACCCAAAGGACUUGACGGUACCCCAUAUCCCCCUAGAGGAGCCUGUCCUAUAAUCGAUAAUCCACGAUUGACCUCACCAUUUUCUAGCUAAUCAGCUUGUAUACCUCCGUCGUCAGCUUACCACGUGAGCGCUUAACUUAGUGAGCUUAAUGUUAAUUCACCAACACGUCAGGUCAAGGUGCAGCAUAUGUAAUGGAAAGAGAUGGGCUACAUUUUCUAUUUUAGAACACACGAAAAACUAAAUAUGUAAUCUAGUUGGAAGGCGGAUCUAGUAGUAAAAAGGAA